AUACUUACGUAACGUAGAGAGCUACCUUGAUCAUGUAGGCGGUUUCCCCAGGGCGAGGCUGCUCCAAUGCACUACGGAGUGGUUGAUCCUUGCGAUUAUGUUUAUUUUUAUAAAUAAAAAAAUCAUAAUAAUAAAUGUAUACCCGAAUAAUUAUUUUUUUUA